CACGUUAUUUUUAUAUUUUUUUUCAUAUUUUCAUUUAAUAUCCUUAAAUUUAAAUAUUUUAUAUCGUUACGUUAUACGUACAAAUAUGCAGUCGAUUGUUGGUUUAAGGUUAGUUCAUGCACUGAGAAUAUUUUCCUAAUUCUUUCAUGUUUUUAUAAAUUUUUUUUCUAUUUUUGAUUUAUUUUUGCUUAUUUUUUGAAUUUUGAUAAAUGAUAUUUGUAAAAAAGAUAUUUUUUCAACAAAAAUUAUCAUUUACACAUUACGCGACCUUUUUGUGAGUGCAUAGGCCCCGUCUCACAUCAAAACAUGCAGUUUGGGUCCGCAUAUAUCUGGGAUGAUUCUCUGGCGAAAUCAUGUCUACUCGUGUCCUUUGGGUUUUUUUUAAGCAUAUACAAGGGGGGUAGAGGUGUUGAACGCACUUCAAGGCGACUAUUGCUAGUUGGCAUAGGCGCUCAGUGGCCACGUCGGCGUGCAACAUGGGCGAAUGGCAGCAUGCAUGGCUAGUCCGUGCGAGCCGUCCGUGCCCGUGUAGCAACGUCGACCGCGCUUCAUUGUGCGCUCGUGUAGGCUAUCGGUGGCGUCGUCCGCGACGGGGCUGCUGGCGCUUGAUUUCGGACGAGGCGGUGCUUUUGUGCGUGCGGCGAGUCCUGGAUGCUGCUCUCGGGGCAAGCUCCAGGCGCUGCAUGCGUGGGGCCGACGGCAGCAGCGCACGACAUCUAUUGCUGGGCGUUAGGGACCGUGCUGGGCGUGCAUCGACAGAUCAUUUGGAUGCACGGAGCGUGAGUUGUGUUCGGCACGUGCGGUUAGGUUGGAUUCCUGCUCGAGCAGCGACGUCCUGACCCGCCUGCCAUCUCAGUCGCGGGGCAAGCGCAAUGCAGGCUUGCUCGAAGUCGGUUUCCUGUGCUGCAUACCUAAUGCCCGGGCAUUAUCAAGUUUUAUCGACCGCCUUUCGCCCCUCGCAUUUCGUGCGCGGGGCGAAUCGAAAGGCCGCCCUCGCGUCCCACGCCUCCCUCGCUUCGUCGUGCGAUGUCGUGGUCCGUGAGCGGCGGUCGGGAUUCUCGGAUGCGGUAGACGCAAUCGAUCCCCUUUCGCCCCUCGCAUUUCGUGCGCGGGGCGAAUCGAAAGGCCGCCCUCGCGUCCCACACCUCCCUCGCUUCAUCAUGUGAUGCCGUGGUCCGUGAGCGGCGGUCGGGAUUCUCGGAUGCGGUUGAC
rnacentral:lncRNA from 1 species